rnacentral:rRNA from 1 species
UCAGUAGGCGGUGUGGCAAGUCGGGAGUGAAAUCUCUGGGCUCAACCCAGAGGCUGCUUCCGAAACUGCCAUGCUAGAGUGUGGGAGAGGCGCGUGGAAUUGCAGGUGUAGCGGUGAAAUGCGUAGAUAUCUGCAGGAACACCCGUGGCGAAAGCGGCGCGCUGGACCACAACUGACGCUGAAUGAACGAAGCGUAGGGGAGACAAACA